rnacentral:rRNA from 1 species
AGUGAACGCUGGCGGCGUGCCUAAUACAUGCAAGUCGAACGGAGUGGCGCACGGGUGAGUAAUAUAUAGCUAACUUGCCCAUUAAUAAGGGACAACAGUUGGAAAAGACGGCUAAUACCUUAUAUUAAUGGCUAGUGCUAUAUCGUAUCAGCUAGUUGGUAAGGUAAAGGCUUACCAAGGCUAUGACGCGUAACUGGUAUGAGAGGAUGACGUGUCACACGGGAACUGAGACACGGUUCAGACUCCUACGGGAGGCAGCAGUAGGGAAUAUCGCUCAAUGGGGGAAACACUUAAGCAGCAACGCCGCGUGGAGUAUGACACUUUUCGGAGCGUAAACUCCUUUUCUUGGGAAAGCGGUACCCAAGGAAUAAGCACCGGCUAACUCCGUGCCAGCAGCCGCGGUAAUUC